rnacentral:lncRNA from 1 species
UAAAAUUGAGAAUGGAAAUGGGGAAUGUGCCAAAGAGACAACAACCCGACCAUAGAAAAAAAAACAAAAAAAAACAGGUCACCAACAGGUCUUCAAUGUAGCGAGAAAUUCCCGCACCCGGAGGCGUCCUUCAGCUGGCCCCUAAACAAAUAUAUACUAGUUCAGUGAUAAUGAACGCCAUACUAAUUUCCAAAUUGUACACAAGA